rnacentral:rRNA from 1 species
CUACGGGGGGCUCCAGUGGGGAAUAUUGGACAAUGGGGGAAACCCUGAUCCAGCAAUGCCGCGUGUGUGAAGAAGGCCUGCGGGUUGUAAAGCACUUUCGGUUGGGAGGACUGCUUCUAGCACUAAUAUUGUUGGAAGUUGACGUUACCUUCAGAAGAAGCACCGGCUAACUCCGUGCCAGCAGCCGCGGUAAUACGGAGGGUGCAAGCAUUAAUCGGAAUUACUGGGCGUAAAGCGCGCGUAGGCGGCUAGAUCAGUCGGGUGUGAAAGCCCCGGGCUUAACCUGGGAACUGCAUCCGAUACUGUCUAGCUUGAGUACAGGAGAGGAGAGUGGAAUUCCACAUGUAGCGGUGAAAUGCGUAGAUAUGUGGAGGAACACCAAUGGCGAAGGCAACUUUCUAGGACAGUACUGACGCUGAGGCACGAAAGCGUGGGGAGCAAACAGGAUUAGAUACCCGGGUAGUC